rnacentral:rRNA from 1 species
UGGGGAAUAUUGGACAAUGGGCGAAAGCCUGAUCCAGCCAUGCCGCGUGUGUGAAGAAGGUCUUCGGAUUGUAAAGCACUUUAAGUUGGGAGGAAGGGCAGUAAGCGAAUACCUUGCUGUUUUGACGUUACCGACAGAAUAAGCACCGGCUAACUCUGUGCCAGCAGCCGCGGUAAUACAGAGGGUGCAAGCGUUAAUCGGAAUUACUGGGCGUAAAGCGCGCGUAGGUGGUACGUUAAGUUGAAUGUGAAAGCCCCGGGCUCAACCUGGGAACUGCAUCCAAAACUGGCGAGCUAGAGUAGGGCAGAGGGUGGUGGAAUUUCCUGUGUAGCGGUGAAAUGCGUAGAUAUAGGAAGGAACACCAGUGGCGAAGGCGACCACCUGGGCUCAUACUGACACUGAGGUGCGAAAGCGUGGGGAGCAAACAGG